UUCGCCUGUUUAACAAAAACAUGUCUCUGUGUGUGGUUUAUAGAGUCUGGCCUGCCCACUGAUUGAAGAAAGAUUAAAGGGCCGCGGUAUAUUGACCGUGCGAAGGUAGCAUAAUCAUUAGUCUUUUAAUUGAAGGCUGGAAUGAAUGGUUUCACAAGAAGUUUACUGUCUUUAAAUUAAGAUUUGAAUUUUACUUUUAAGUGAAAAGGCUUAAAUGUUUUAGGGGGACGAUAAGACCCUAUAAAACUUUACAUAGGAAAAUUAUUUUAAAAAUUGUGUUGUUUAAGGUUAAGAGAGUUCAAAUGUGUUUUGUUGGGGAGACAAGAAUAUAAAAUGAUUAGUAACUGUUCGAAAAUUAGGAGUCAGAUUAUUAUUGAGAAAAAGAAGUGGUCCUUGGAAAAGAUUAAAAGAGUAAGUUACUUUAGGGAUAACAGCGUUAUUUUUUUGGAGAGUUCUUAUCAAUAGAAAAGAUUGCGACCUCGAUGUUGAAUUAAAAUUUCUUUAUAAUGCAGUUGUUAUAAAAGAAAGUCUGUUCGACCCUUAAACCUUUAC
rnacentral:rRNA from 1 species